rnacentral:rRNA from 1 species
ACGCUUGAAGUCAGUCGCGUCAUCCGGGGAUCAACCUCGCUUUUGCUUGGUGCACUUCCUGGUUUGAUGGGUCAGCAUCAAUUUUGACCGUUGGAAAAAGAUCAGGGGAAUGUGGCAUCUUUGGAUGUGUUUAUAGCCCUUGGUCGCAUACAAUGGUUUUGGGAUUGAGGAACUCAGCACGCCGCAAGGCCGGGUUUUAAACCACGUACGUGCUUAGGAUGCUGACAUAUAUAAUGGCUUUAAUCGACCCGUCUUGAAACACGGACCAAGGAGUC